rnacentral:rRNA from 1 species
AUUGAACGCUGGCGGCAUGCUUUACACAUGCAAGUCGAACGGUAACAGGCCUUCGGGUGCUGACGAGUGGUGAACGGGUGAGUAAUGCAUAGGAACGUACCCAGAGGUGGGGGAUAACGCAGCGAAAGCUGUGCUAAUACCGCAUGUGAUCUGAGGAUGAAAGCGGGGGACCGAGCAGCAAUGUUUGGCCUCGCGCCUUUGGAGCGGCCGAUGUCGGAUUAGCUAGUUGGUGGGGUAAAGGCCUACCAAGGCGACGAUCCGUAGCUGGUCUGAGAGGACGACCAGCCACACUGGGACUGAGACACGGCCCAGACUCCUACGGGAGGCAGCAGUGGGGAAUUUUGGACAAUGGGCGCAAGCCUGAUCCAGCAAUGCCGCGUGCGGGAAGAAGGCCUUCGGGUUGUAAACCGCUUUUGGCAGGAACGAAACGGUGUCCGCUAAUACCGGGCGCUAAUGACGGUACCUGCAGAAUAAGCACCGGCUAACUACGUG